AUGCUGUGGUGGCUCGGGGGCGUCGGCUGCUGGUGCUGCUCCCGGGCGCUCAGUUGGCCGCGGUCGGCUGAGUCGCGUAUGGAUCUGGCUACCAGGGGCGGCGGCCGGCGGGUCCGGGGGGGCUUCCCCUUGCUGAGAUCUGGCAAGUGGGAUCAUCCAGAUCCUGGCAAGGACGGCGGCGACCCGUGCACGAGAGAUAGAGGUCUUCGAUCAGAUCUGGGUGAAAACCUGCUAUUGGCUACUGCCAAGGCUGACGAUGGCGACGCUGAAGGCAUCGCCGUGAAGAAGUUCAAGGCCACUCUCUGCUACCUCCAGGGGAAACCCUAG
rnacentral:rRNA from 1 species